rnacentral:tRNA from 1 species
GGGUCUGUCAUCUAACAGGAGAAGGUACAGGUUUCCGAAACCUGCGAUCACGGUUCGAGUCCGUGCAGGCCCACCA